AUGCCCUAGUAACGGCGAGUGAAGCGGCAACAGCUCAAAUUUGAAAUCUGGCCCUCGGGUCCGAGUUGUAAUUUGUAGAGGAUGAUUUUGGUUAGGUACCUUCCGAGUUCCUUGGAACAGGACGCCUUAGAGGGUGAGAGCCCCGUACGGUUGGAUGCCGAGCCUCUGUAAAUCUCCUUCGACGAGUCGAGUAGUUUGGGAAUGCUGCUCUAAAUGGGAGGUAAAUUUCUUCUAAAGCUAAAUACCGGCCAGAGACCGAUAGCGCACAAGUAGAGUGAUCGAAAGAUGAAAAGCACUUUGAAAAGAGGGUUAAAUAGUACGUGAAAUUGUUGAAAGGGAAGGGCUUGUGACCAGACCUUUGCCUUGCGGAUCAUCCGGUGUUCUCACCGGUGCACUCCGCUUGGUUGAGGCCAGCAUCAGUUUCGGCGGCGGGAUAAAGACUUCAGGAACGUGACUCCCCCGGGAGUGUUAUAGCCUGCUGUGUAAUACCGCCGCUGGGACUGAGGACCGCGCUUCGGCUAGGAUGCUGGCAUAAUGGUCAUCAGCCACCCGUCUUGAAACACGGACCAAGGAGUCGAACAUUUAUGCGAGUUUUUGGGUGUUAAACCCUCAAGCGUAAUGAAAGUGAACGGAGGUGAGAGCCCUUACGGGUGCAUCAUCGACCGAUCCUGAUGUCUUCGGAUGGAUUUGAGUAAGAGCAUAACUGUUCGGACCCGAAAGAUGGUGAACUAUGCGUGGAUAGGGUGAAGCCAGAGGAAACUCUGGUGGAGGCUCGCAGCGGUUCUGACGUGCAAAUCGAUCGUCAAAUCUGCGCAUGGGGCGAAAGACUAAUC
rnacentral:rRNA from 1 species